rnacentral:rRNA from 1 species
AUUGAACGCUGGCGGCAUGCUUUACACAUGCAAGUCGAACGGUAACAGGCCGCAAGGUGCUGACGAGUGGCGAACGGGUGAGUAAUGCAUCGGAACGUGCCCAGUCGUGGGGGAUAACGCAGCGAAAGCUGCGCCAAUACCGCAUACGAUCUAUGGAUGAAAGCGGGGGACAGUAAGGCCUCGCGCGAUUGGAGCGGCCGAUGUCAGAUCAGGUAGUUGGUGGGGUAAAGGCUCACCAAGCCAACGAUCUGUAGCUGGUCUGAGAGGACGACCAGCCACACUGGGACUGAGACACGGCCCAGACUCCUACGGGAGGCAGCAGUGGGGAAUUUUGGACAAUGGGCGCAAGCCUGAUCCAGCAAUGCCGCGUGCAGGAAGAAGGCCUUCGGGUUGUAAACUGCUUUUGUACGGAACGAAACGGCUCUCUCUAAUACAGGGGGUUAAUGACGGUACCGUAAGAAUAAGCACCGGCUAACUACGUGCCAGCCGCCGCGGUAACAC